rnacentral:rRNA from 1 species
ACUCCUACGGGAGGCAGCAGUGGGGAAUAUUGGACAAUGGGCGAAAGCCUGAUCCAGCCAUGCCGCGUGUGUGAAGAAGGCCUUUUGGUUGUAAAGCACUUUAAGCGAGGAGGAGGCUACUUGGAUUAAUACUCUAGGAUAGUGGACGUUACUCGCAGAAUAAGCACCGGCUAACUCUGUGCCAGCAGCCGGGGUAAU